rnacentral:rRNA from 1 species
GAUGAACGCUGGCGGCGUGCUUAACACAUGCAAGUCGACCGGGAAUUAUUUUAUUGAAGCUUCGGUCGAUUUAAUUUAAUUCUAGUGGCGGACGGGUGAGUAACGCGUGGGUAACCUGCCUUAUACAGGGGGAUAACAGUCAGAAAUGGCUGCUAAUACCGCAUAAGCGCACAGAGCUGCAUGGCUCAGUGUGAAAAACUCCGGUGGUAUAAGAUGGACCCGCGUUGGAUUAGCUGGUUGGUGGGGUAACGGCCCACCAAGGCGACGAUCCAUAGCCGGCCUGAGAGGGUGAACGGCCACAUUGGGACUGAGACACGGCCCAGACUCCUACGGGAGGCAGCAGUGGGGAAUAUUGCACAAUGGGGGAAACCCUGAUGCAGCGACGCCGCGUGAAGGAAGAAGUAUCUCGGUAUGUAAACUUCUAUCAGCAGGGAAGAUAGUGACGGUACCUGACUAAGAAGCCCCGGCUAACUACGUG